GACGAACGCUGGCGGCGUGCCUAAUACAUGCAAGUUGAGCGAUGAAGCUUGGUGCUUGCCCCAAUUUGAAGAGCAGCGAACGGGUGAGUAACGCGUGGGGAAUCUGCCUUUGAGCGGGGGACAACAUUUGGAAACGAAUGCUAAUACCGCAUAACAACUUUAAACAUAAGUUUUAAGUUUGAAAGAUGCAAUUGCAUCACUCAAAGAUGAUCCCGCGUUGUAUUAGCUAGUUGGUGAGGUAAAGGCUCACCAAGGCGAUGAUACAUAGCCGACCUGAGAGGGUGAUCGGCCACAUUGGGACUGAGACACGGCCCAAACUCCUACGGGAGGCAGCAGUAGGGAAUCUUCGGCAAUGGACGAAAGUCUGACCGAGCAACGCCGCGUGAGUGAAGAAGGUUUUCGGAUCGUAAAACUCUGUUGGUAGAGAAGAACGUUGGUGAGGGUGAAAAGCUCAUCAAGUGACGGUAACUACCCAGAAAGGGACGGCUAACUCCGUG
rnacentral:rRNA from 1 species